CCUACGGGAGGCAGCAGUGAGGAAUAUUGGUCAAUGGGAGAGAUCCUGAACCAGCCAAGCCGCGUGAGGGAAGACGGCCCUAUGGGUUGUAAACCUCUUUUGUCGGAGAACAAAACCCGGGACGUGUCCCGGACUGCGUGUAUCCGAAGAAAAAGCAUCGGCUAACUCCGUGCCAGCAGCCGCGGUAAUACGGAGGAUCCAAGCGUUAUCCGGAUUUAUUGGGUUUAAAGGGUGCGUAGGCGGAUUGAUAAGUUAGAGGUGAAAUGUCCGAGCUCAACUCGGGAACUGCCUCUAAUACUGUUGAU
rnacentral:rRNA from 1 species